UACGUAGGGGGCGAGCGUUGUCCGGAAUCAUUGGGCGUAAAGCGCGUGUAGGCGGCCCGGCAAGUCCGCUGUGAAAGUCCAGGGCUCAACCUCGAGAUGUCGGCGGAAACCGUCUGGCUAGAGUCCGGAAGAGGAGAGUGGAAUUCCUGGUGUAGCGGUGAAAUGCGCAGAUAUCAGGAAGAACACCUAUGGCGAAGGCAGCUCUCUGGGACGGUACUGACGCUGAGACGCGAAAGCGUGGGGAGCGAACAGG
rnacentral:rRNA from 1 species